CAAGCUAUAACUUUGUUAGUAAAGUUAUAUUAUUUACACUAAUAUUUAAGUUGUGCAAUUCAAUUUAGUUUGA
rnacentral:tRNA from 1 species